UAGGGAAUCUUCCGCAAUGGACGCAAGUCUGUCGGAGCAACGCCGCGUGAGUGAAGAAGGAUUUCGGUUCGUAAAACUCUGUUGUUAGAGAAGAACAGCGCAUAGAGUAACUGUUAUGCGUGUGACGGUAUCUAACCAGAAAGCCACGGCUAACUACGUGCCAGCAGCCGCGGUAAUACGUAGGUGGCAAGCGUUGUCCGGAUUUAUUGGGCGUAAAGCGAGCGCAGGCGGUCAAUUAAGUCUGAUGUGAAAGCCCCCGGCUCAACCGGGGAGGGUCAUUGGAAACUGGUUGGCUUGAGUGCAGAAGAGGAGAGGGGAAUUCCAUGUGUAGCGGUGAAAUGCGUAGAUAUAUGGAGGAACACCGGUGGCGAAAGCGGCUCUCUGGUCUGUAACUGACGCUGAGGCUCGAAAGCGUGGGGAGCGAACAGG
rnacentral:rRNA from 1 species